UACGUAGGGGGCGAGCGUUGUCCGGAUUCAUUGGGCGUAAAGAGCUCGUAGUCGGCUUGGUUAGUUGGGUGUGAAACCUCCAGGCUUAACCUGGAGACGCCACUCAAUACUGCCAUGGCUAGAGUCCGGUAGGGGACCACGGAAUUCCUGGUGUAGCGGUGAAAUGCGCAGAUAUCAGGAGGAACACCGGUGGCGAAGGCGGUGGUCUGGGCCGGCACUGACGCUGAGGAGCGAAAGCGUGGGGAGCGAACAGG
rnacentral:rRNA from 1 species